UUCAGGAAAAGCAAUCGAGCGAAGUUCACUCGAGCAGUCUGUUAGCAAACAAGGGCUAGGAAGGAACAUGGCAUCCACCGACCAACCUGAUCCACCAACACAGCCUGUCCUUCCACCCGGAGAUGUUCCGGCAGCUCCCCCCAGAGAAGCAUUGAUUACCACUGCUGUGAAAUUUCUACAGAACCCUAAAGUACAGCAGAGUCCCCUGGCAACCAGAAAAGCCUUCUUGAAGAAAAAAGGACUGACGGAUGUGGAGGUAGAACUGGCCAUCCUGCGCUCUGGCAGCACAGAAGAAGUCCUGCCUCUGAACCCUGCAGGGCCCCUACUUCCCCUCCAUGCAACUCAGCUGGUUCCUGCACCACAAAGUCCAGCAGGUUACAGAUGGAGAGACUAUGGUGCCCUCACCAUCAUUAUGGUGGGCAUCGCCUUUGGCUUUCAUCAGCUUUAUAAAAAAUACAUCCUUCCCCUCAUUAUGGGCAGCCGAGAGGACAAGAAGCAUCUGCAGAGGAUGGAGAGCAACAUUGCGGCAAUGAGUGGCACGCUGACACAGACAGUCAGCCAGCUGCAGCAGACCCUGGUCUCUGUUCAGGAGCUCCUCGUUCAGCAGCAGCAGAAAAUCCAGGAGCUGUCUCAGGAACUGUCUGCAGCAGAGGCAUCGUCUUCAACCAGCCGCAUACUGGACAACCAAACAGUUGGAGAGCUGAAGGCUGAAAUUGUCUCUUUGAAGGGCUUACUGCUCAGCAGGAAACAAUUCCCCUCCACUCCCUCUGUCCCAAAGAUCCCCUCAUGGCAGAUCCCCCUCAAGCCGACUUCUGCGUCCACCUCCCCAUCUGUCAACGACACCAACAGCAGCAGCGACAUCUCUCCUGUUAGCAUCGAGUCCGCCAGCUCCUCCCCAAUUAAAGACGGUCAACAAAGCUCCCAGGAUGCACUGGGUGGGCCUGACGGAGCUCAUGGUAUCAAUGGCGAAGCAGGACCUGGGGAUCUUGGCGCAUCACUGCCCCUGGACCUGAAAGACCAGGUCCGCAUGGAGGUGCAAGGGGAGGAGGAGCGAAAGGAGGAAGAGGAAGAGGAGGAAGAUGUGAACCAUGUGGAAGAUGAGGAGGAGGAUGAGCUGAGCAUGCAGACAGAGGAUCGACGAGGUGGGGACGGACAGAUUAACGAACAGGUGGAGAAACUGAGGCGACCCGAGGGUGCCAGCAAUGAGAACGAGGUGGAUUAGACAACAGCACAUAAACACUCUCCUAACACAGCUUCUCCUCUCUGCUGACAGCUUUGUUUCAUUCUGCUGCUGUCUGCUUGAAAUUAUUCUGUUUGUUUGGGUUUGUGUGUUUUUUUUGUUUUUCAAAUUAAUCUCCCCUGUUUGUCUCCACUUGUUCUGUAACAUGUUAAUCUUUAGCAAAAUGAGGAGCAAACGUGCCAGUGAGAUGAUGCAAAACUGACAAAUAUUGGAUUGUCUCAUUGACACACAGCUUGAUUUACUUUUCAUCAUGCAAACUAAAUGACUGCGUACCCAGCCAAUUACCAUGUUGUCACAUUUCUUUGGAAGGAGCAAUGAUGAGCAGUAGUCAAAUCAGAAUGACUUAAAAAGGCUCACGCAGUAAUAACUGUGUGUGACUUUCCACUUUUUAAUUUUCAUGAUUUGAUCAGAUAGUUCGCAGCUUUGCCUUGGUGUGCUUGUGGCUGCACUCAAGCUUAGAAACAGACCGUAGAGGCAGCCCUGCAUGGACUCUCUCUCCUGUAUAGUGCAGCUGUAGGUCAAGAGUCAUAUGUUGCCACUUCAGUCUCAAAGUUACCGUGAGCUUCCAGAGGAGCAUUAGCAGAGUUUGUCUCCCUGUUGAUGGCAAUAGGAGAGGACAAGCUCUUCCAGGGCCGGAGCUUUUAGCCUCUUUUAUGUGUCCUUUCGCAUUGGUGUCAGUCUGUCAAUAAUUCACAAGGCCAGCAGGGUGGCAUUUGGGUGAAAUAAAAGCCCUGAAAUUCGAGAUUAGAAUGUGAUGACGGGCUUUGUUCCACUCCGGAGUCAGAGUGCUCAUACGCUCAAAGGAGGGGAAGAUAAAUGUUUUUUUUGCCCCUGCUUUCCUUUUUCACUGAGGGCUGAAUCGUGCAUCUCUAUGCGUGUGUUUGUGUGUGGCAGGCGUGAAAAACCCCAGACUGUCUGCUGAGCUGUAUCUGUGUCUCCAGCAGGGCAGCUGAUUUGGUUUGUGAAUUAACAAGAAGAGUCCACGAGUGAGAAGAAGGGAUAUCAGCUCUCGAGCCGUUUCCACCUCCGUCACAUGGCCUUCAUAGGAACACAGAAAAGGUAGAGAGGAAAAGCACAUUUGUGUGUGACACCGGUCCUAACCUGAAGAUUAUCUUUCGUAAUUUUGAUCCAGUUUAUGUGAAAUAUAUGAAUGAUAAGAGAACAAUGCAGUAUACUGUAAGCUAUAUAUUUUUGAUUUAUAAUAAAUGAGUUUGUAUGGUUGUUAGGGAAAGAACUAAUGCUCUUGUAGUGAUUAGUCCUUAAUGUAAACUGCUGAUUACUGUCUGAAUUACAACCAAAAGUGUACAUAUGUGUAAUAAACUUCUCUAUCUCUAUCUCA